rnacentral:rRNA from 1 species
UACGUAGGGGGCAAGCGUUGUCCGGAUUUAUUGGGCGUAAAGAGCGUGUAGGCGGCCAUACAGGUCAGCUGUGAAAACUCGAGGCUCAACCUCGAGACGUCGGUUGAAACCGUAUGGCUAGAGUCCGGAAGAGGAGAGUGGAAUUCCCGGUGUAGCGGUGAAAUGCGCAGAUAUCGGGAAGAACACCCGGUGGCGAAGGCGGUCUC